rnacentral:rRNA from 1 species
GGGCAACCGGCGAACGGGUGCGUAACACGUGAGCAACCUACCGAAGUGCGGGGGAUAGCCGGUCUAACGGCCGAGUAAUACCGCAUACGUUCCCGAAGAGGCAUUUCUUCGGGAAGAAACCUACGGGGCACUUCGAGGGGCUCGCGGCCUAUCAGCUAGUUGGUGGGGUAACGGCUUACCGAGGCUACGACGGGUAGCUGGUCUGAGAGGAUGGCCAGCCACAUUGGGACUGAGAUACGGCCCAG